rnacentral:rRNA from 1 species
UCCUGGCUUAGGAUGAACGCUGGCGGCGCGCCUAACACAUGCAAGUCGAACGGUUAAAGCACCUCCGGGUGUGUAUAAAGUGGCGAACGGCUGAGUAACACGUGGGCAACCUGCCCCUCGCUCCGGGACAGCCUCAGGAAACUGGGAGUAAUACCGGAUACUCCGCCACCCCCGCAUGGGGGAGGCGGAAAGCCUUAACGGCGAGGGAUGGGCCCGCGGCCUGUUAGCUUGUUGGUGGGGUAACGGCCCACCAAGGCCAUUAUGGGUAGCUGGGUUGAGAGACCGACCAGCCAGAUUGGGACUGAGACACGGCCCAAACUCCUACGGGAGGCAGCAGUGGGGAAUCUUGCACAAUGGGCGAAAGCCUGAUGCAGCGACGCCGCGUGCGGGACGAAGGCCUUCGGGUUGUAAACCGCUUUCAGUGGGGACGAGGCCGCGAGGUGACGGUACCCACAGAAGAAGCCCCGGCUAACUACGUGCCAGCAGCAGC